AUUGAACGCUGGCGGCAGGCCUAACACAUGCAAGUCGAGCGGAUGACAGGAGCUUGCUCCUGGAUUCAGCGGCGGACGGGUGAGUAAUGCCUAGGAAUCUGCCUGGUAGUGGGGGACAACGUUUCGAAAGGAACGCUAAUACCGCAUACGUCCUACGGGAGAAAGCAGGGGACCUUCGGGCCUUGCGCUAUCAGAUGAGCCUAGGUCGGAUUAGCUAGUUGGUGAGGUAAUGGCUCACCAAGGCGACGAUCCGUAACUGGUCUGAGAGGAUGAUCAGUCACACUGGAACUGAGACACGGUCCAGACUCCUACGGGAGGCAGCAGUGGGGAAUAUUGGACAAUGGGCGAAAGCCCGAUCCAGCCAUGCCGCGUGCGUGAAGAAGGUCUUCGGAUUGUAAAGCACUUUAAGUUGGGAGGAAGGGUUGUAGAUUAAUACUCUGCAAUUUUGACAUUACCGACAGAAUAAGCACCGGCUAACUCUGUGCCAGCAGCCGCGGUAACAC
rnacentral:rRNA from 1 species